rnacentral:lncRNA from 1 species
AAACAGGACAAACAGAUUUACUAGAAACAACACAACUGAAUGGCUAAUAUUAAAGUUUACUAGGAAUACUUUAUUUACAGUACAUGCUUUAUAAUUAGUUUGAUAUUUAUUAAAUUCACAAAUACAUUUUACUAUAAUAGAAAACAUAGAUGCAAGAGGCAAUUUAAAUGUUUAGAAUUACAGACCAAUAUCAAAUAACUGCCUUCUUGUAAACAGGGCUUCAGACCACCCCCAAAAAUGUUAAAAUAAAAAUUUUUACUUUAAUUCAGUAUAAUGAUAAUAAUUGAUACAUUAUCUUUUUUUAUUUAACCAGAGCUACCCUAGCACUUUUUCCGAUGCAAGUUCUAAAGUUCAGAGUUAAUUUAUGAAGAUGAGAGCCAGGCCCUCUUGUCCUAUUAUCAAUCGUAUUUACAAGCAAGAUCGUCACAACCAGCAAUGUCAGUGGGAGACUAAUAGUGGUACAAAAGUAGUAAUCACCAUAGAAAUCAAUACAUAGUUUCACAAAAUUUAGAACGUUGAACCCAAUAUAGCACAUGUUUUGCCUUGAAUAAUUUCCUCAAUAAAGCUAUAAACGUGAGCAGUCAGUAUUAUUAUUCUACCUGAUUCCAUGUUGAUAUUUUUUGUCCUACCACAACCAUAAAACUGUUACAAUUCAUAAAGAGUUUAGCUUACUUUAUUCAGGUGAAGAGACAAAGAACAUUUUCAAGGCACUGAUGACUAAAAUCAUGAAAUGCCUAAUCUUGAAUGUUAAGAGCAUUUACAACAGUGAAGACAGCAACAAUACAACAUCCUUAUCCUGCCAAAACCACUUUAUUAAUAUUUUAAAUGUUAAGGAUGAAUAACUUGCCAAUGAAAUGUCUGUAUUGUCUACAUGAAAAAUACAUGAAUAUUGCUCAUUGCGCCUUGCUAAGCUAUUUGGAUGGCUAAGUGAAAAGUACACAUAACUGUUAAUUUGCAUUUUUCAUUUAAUUAGCCUUGUAUGAUGAAAUCAAGUUUCAAUAAAGCCCAGUGUUUCUCUAUUAAUCUGUACUUGCUGUUUGACAAUUCAGUUGUCUUGAUAUGUUACCAUUUUAGCAGUCUAUACAGGGAAUAUAAUAAAUACCUUAGCAUGAAGCAAAAUUUUUGAUCAAAAAAGUGUUCUCUGUUCUUUUCUCUUAUUAGCCCUUCUUGCUCCAGGUUUUUUAGGAUUCUUUUUUAAUUGGGAUUACUAUCACACUAAACUCUCUCUAUGAAUGAGGAUCAGGGUGUCCUAGAUCUGUCUAUUACUUUCUCUCUCUCUCUCUCUCUCUGUAUAUAUAUCGCCCCCUAGUGGCUCUCUUUAGGGGUGUUGUAUUAGACAACUCUGGUUGAAGGGACUUAUGCACUUAUGCACUCAAUGGGGAUCAAUGUGAUGUUCUAAUGAUGAUUAACACACAUUCUUUAGUUUAUUUUGUAGAAUUGGGAAAAUUGAUAUAGGAACUCCUGGAAUUGGUGUAUACAUCCCUGAUGAUUAUUUUUUAAUCCCAGCUGUGUUUUGAUAAAUUAUUUUUUUUUUCUCAAUCCAUAUUGUUUUCUUUUUGUUGUGGUCAUGUCAAUGUUUCAUAUUACAUUAAUUUAAAGAAUGGAUAAUGUAUGGAAUAUAAACUGAUUAAUGUUUUAAUGUCAAUAAAUGUUUCAAUAUGAUCAAAAGUAUAUUGUAAUUUGUUGAUAUACCACAGAUCUCUUUAAUCUGCUAACUCUUAUGACCAUCUUUUAGUGGAUACCGGUACUCUCUCUGCAUAAACAAAAAGAGUAAUUUGGAGAAAUCAAAGUUCAUUUACACUACUAAAAAAAGUAUAUGCAAUCUACUCACACUCCCAUAAACAAAUCAAAAACUGGUAUCUUAAAAUCAAUCCUUGGAGAAAGGGAAUUAGGAGCAGCCUUUACAAGACAUUAUCCCAGCAAGACUCCUCACAAACAAAAAUAAUGUUAAAACAGGAUCAUAAAAAUAGUGGUCUAUUUUAAUAUAUUUUAUUUUUUUACUGCCACAACCUUCUGCCUUACUGUUGUCCCUACUAAAAGUAUAUUGGAGAGAUGUGAAGUGUGUACCUAAUUUUCAUUUUUGAACAAACAAAAUGUACUCAACAUUUGUGCGAAAGACAAAUUUAUAUUUCUUCUUUCUUAUUAGUCCCUCUUCCUCCAGGCUUUGUAGGGUUCUUUAUGCAUUUGGAUAACUAUUAUGCAGCCCUCUGUCUUUUAAAUAAGGAUCAGGGGUGGGACGUGAUGACGUUGAGACAGGACCGUAACCACACAUUGGGAGGCAGGGCUUAGGGGUGAAUGGCCGGGCGGUAGAAUUCACCACUAGGCAACAGCGUCUGUGUAAAGGGGAUCAUGGCAGGAGAUUAGAGCCGACAACUAGAAGCCCUUUGCAAGUGACUAAAUGAAAAAACGGCAGCUUGCUGAAAAUGAGAAAAGGUCUAGAAAAUCCAAGCUAAAAGCAAGUAUAAACACUAAGCUUAUAAGUGUUUAAAAAUAGAAAAUCUUAAAAAAAAUAAAUAAAUAACAGUGGAUAAUUUGUAUAUAACUGGAAUAUACUGACAUACAAAUACACAUUAUCCCCUAAUCUGCUCUGUGUGCUGAGGAGAGGAGAGAGAAACAAAGAUAAGGCUGAUCUGAUAUUAUUAUGUUAUUAUUUAUAUAGCGCCAUCAGAUUCUGUAGCGCUGUACAAUGGGUGGACUAACAGACAUGUAAUUGUAACCAGACAACUGGAUGUACGAGAACAGAAGGGGUGGAGGGCCCUUCUCAAUGAGCUUACAUACUAGAGGGAGUGGGGUGUAGUGAUACAUAGGGUAAAACUAGGGGUACGAAGUAGGUUGUUAGAAAAGUAUUCACCGAGGGCUUAGUAGGUAAUUUUUGACAGUUGCAGGAGAUAUGAUCCCUAGAGGGAAAUUUAUGACAGCCUAAAAUUAACUACUCAGAAAAAGCCUCUAAAAAAAUCCCCAUUUUUAUUAUAUGCCACAAUAUCAUCUAAUAGCACAUAAUGGUACAAAGAAGUGCCCAGAAGCUGAAGGUGGGAAAAGAAAGGAAAGAAGGAAGAGGAAAUAUAACAUAUAAAGAAAGGAAUAAAGGGAAAAGAAACAAAAUCUCAAGAUUUAAAACAAAAAAGAGUCGCUAAACUUAGUAGUGAAAUAAAAUGACUACUGCAAAGAUUCCAAGAAAAAAAAAAGAUCUUAAAGACACCAAACAAGGCAAAGGAGUAUCAGCUUUUUUCUGUCCCGAAAACAAACAAGGUGGCGGUAAUUGGCUAUCAGAAGAAUCUUUAAUGGAAGACAAGAGAAGUCCAACGUUUAAUUUGCAAGAAUUUAUCAAAAUCAAUUUGGAAAGUCAAACUGAAACAUUUAAAAAAUAACUUAAUAAUAGCACAUGUCAACUAAAACUACAAAUAAAAGAAAUUGGUGCAAAAAUAACCGAGAUGGAAGAAAAAUAUGAAAAAAUGGAGUUCCAAUACAAGACGUAAACAUCUUGGAACAAAGAAUAAAUCUAUUGGAAGAUAAGCAAAGAAUAAAGAACAUCAGACUGAAAAAUAUCCCUGAAUCCAUUACUUAUGAAAAUACAAAAGAAUUUGUGCUUGAAUUUCUUUUAGCCUUAGACAUUAACAAACAAAACAAGGAACUUGUUAUAGAAAAUGUAUAUCGUGUGAGAAAACCGCCAAAUAUUCCCGAAAUAAGUCCAAGAGACCUGGUAGUUGUCUAUUAUUCUUUUCAAAUGAAACAACAAGCUAUUCAAGCAAGUAGAGUGAAUAAAUUAACAGAAGGAAGAUUUAAAGUUAUUGUUAUGUACCAGGACUUAUCAUCAUAUACAAGAAUGUGGAAAAAGACAAUUUUUACAGCCUUGAUACCACUUAAACAACACAAUAUAAGAUACCGAUGGGGGCCAAACAAAUUAAUAACAGUGAUCUGGAAAGACACUAAGAAAAUAUUUUCUGAACCAAAACAAUGGACAAAGGAACAGAUAAAGUGAGGGAAGAAGAAGGGAGAAAAAAAAUUAGAAGGAAAGAGAAUAACUUUUUAUAAUUACUGAAUUAAAAGAGACUAAGAGAAAUAUACAGAGGAACAUAAGAAGAAGAGGAGGGAAACAAAAUAAGAUUUUUUUCUCUCUCUCUCUUUCUCUUUUUAAAGUGUAUAUAUAGGUUUAGGGAAAAGAUAAAUAGUAAGUUAGAAAUUUAAAAAUGUGAAACACGUCAGCUAUAUGACACAUACUAAGUGAGUAAUAUAAACACAAUAAAAUAGAACUGAAGAGAUUAGAGGGAAGUGAGGGAAGUUUUCCCAAAUACGAGAUACGAUAAAAACAAUAUUAUAUGUUUGUUUUAAUGGUUACACAAGAUAGAUAAUGAAAUGUUUUAAACACUUCUCGCUUUGAAGACAGAAAAAAGAUAGCUAAGACACUUGCCAUUUGGAAAUAGAUAGAUAGAAAAAGGGAAUUAAAGAGAGAAGGGGAAUGGGAGGAAAAGGGGAGAAAUAAUUAAAAAAGGCACAUAAUAAAGGUGAUAUAGAAUAAGUUUGAGAAAUAUAAUUUGUGUCCGGAACAAGUGUGUUUAAUUAAAGGGUGAUUAUAAUCCUGAAUAGGUGUAAAGUCCACUUUCCAAGAUCAAGUCUACAUUUGCCACAGCUUCCUCUUCAUACUGGUAGAUUUCAGAUUUUUCUUUUUUAUACAACUUUUUUUUUCUCUCUCUCUCUAUCUUUGGCCAUAAAUGGUGGUAAAGAGUGUGUAAAUAAUUACUAUUUGAAGCGCUGGUCCAUGUCAACUAUUUAAAAAUACAUCUGCUUGGAGAUCUUAGAGAAGAUCUUAGCUAGUGACAUUAUGGAGAAUAAUGUUAGAUGUUACACUAAGAGGGGGCUUUUUGUCACUAUUUGUGUAAGUGAGGAUGUAUGCGGUUAUCCCUUCUAUAGAAGGGAAUUUCCAAGUUGUGUGAUUGUUUGAGUUGAUCAUGUGAGGAAGACUGAGAAAGUAAUGAGUAGGAAAUAGGAAUAGAAUAGAAUUCUAAAGUGUAUUUCCAUGAGCAUAUAGGGGCUAAACACCCCAUGUCAAAGAAAACCUCUUUACGAAUUACUCAGAAAAGAACGAAUAGACAUAGCUCUGAUACAAGAGACUCAGUGGAAAAGGGAGACUCACUGGAAAAGGGAAGAGGAAGUUAGAUGGAAGUAUGAGUUGUAUAAAGAAGUUAUACAUGCAUCUGUAGAGGGUGAAAAAAAAAGUAGUCAUUAUUUUUUCAAAAUGGAUUAAUAAGGAAAUAUUAUAUACAGAGUUGGAUAGUGAAGGAAGAUACCAAAUUCUAGUAUGCAGGAUAGACUCAGUUACAUAUACCUUUGUUAAUCUUUAUUUGUCAUAUGUAUUACCAAAAAAAUAUCUUAAAAAAAGGUAAUGGAUAGGGUCAAAAAAGUUAAAAUGGGAAUAUUGGUUGUCACAGGGGAUUUUAAUUGUGUCCCAGAUACAGAGCUAGAUUAGAAAAUUAAAGAUAACAAAAAAAUAAAUAAACAACUAAAGAAACAAUCUAAGAUACUGGGAAAUAUUAUGAGAGAGAAUAAUUUGUUGGAUAUAUGGUGAGUCUACCAUGCAAAUGAAAACAAAUUUACAAACCUUUCUAGAAUACAUCACUCGUUAUCCAGAAUUGAUCUGGGAGACAAUAGCAUAGUAGAACAGAUUCACAGAGAGAGAACCCACGGGCAGAUCAUGGCUAUAAUCUGUUUGUAUUUAAAAGACAAAAAAAUAUAUAUAAACCUUUUAGCACUUUUUCACUCUCCAAAGUGGAACAUCAAAAACAAAUAAUAAAGGUAAUAGAAUUAUACUUUAAAGAAAAAAAAAUCUGAAAGAAUGCCAUAUUCAAUGAUUUGGUUCGCUUUCAAAGUGGUUGUGAGAGGAUACUUG